rnacentral:rRNA from 1 species
ACUCAAAUGAAUAGACGGGGACCCGCACAAGCGGUGGAGCGUGUUGUUUAAUUCGAUGGUAAGCGAAGAACCUUACCCAGGCUUGACAUCCUACUAAUUUUUCCGAAAGGAAAGAGUGCCUUCGGGCCGUAGAGACAGGUGUUGCAUGGCCGUCGUCAGCUCGUGUCGUGAGAUGUUAGGUUAAGUCCUUCAACGAGCGCAACCCUUUUGUUUAGUUGUAUUUUUCUAAACAGACUGCCCUGGCAACAGGGAGGAAGGAGGGGAUGAGGUCAGGUCAGUAUUACCCUUACGUCUGGGGCUACAAACACGCUACAAUGGCCGGUACAAAGGGCUGCCAACCCGCGAGGGGGAGCAAAUCCCAUCAAAGCCGGUCUCAGUUCGGAUAGGAGGCUGAAACUCGCCUCCUUGAAGCUGGAAUCGCUAGUAAUGGUAGGUCAGCACACUACCGUGAAUACGUUCCCGGGUCUUGUACACACCGCCCGU